GCUGGGGCUGGCGCGGGCGGGCUGCGCUGCAAGAGCGGUCGGAGAGGCUGCGGACCGAGCCAGAAGGCAAGACCCUGCUCAGACAGGAGCUCCUUUGCAUCCCAGAAAAGGUGAAGCCUGACAGCAAUCAAUCAAAGGAUGUAAAAGUAUGUCAUGUAAAGGGAGGGAUUGGGGUUCUGAAAAGAUACAGCUCAGGUAAUUUCACGAGCACCAGGCAAUAGGACAACAAUUACAUAAGAGGGACUGCUGCAAAACAUACGCCCAAGUGACAUGCGUUUUUGUAACGUUUCAAUUUCUUUAUGUUUCAAAUGAAAUCAAAGAAAUAAAGUCAACGUUCUAGAAUUGUAUAUGACUUCAGGAAGUUGCUUUUUUAUGUUACAAACUUUCACAGGGUCUCCUUAAAUAACAUCUUGAUCUCUUAACAAGCUAACAACUUUCAAAGUGUGUCUUGAUUGUGCCAAGAGAAAUGUGUUUGUCUGUCCUUGGUCUACCAUGCCAGGUAACGGUUCAACAGUGCAGCACUGGGAGAAAUGAUAGCUGAGCCUGGGCAAAGAGGAAAUUUUACCACAAUUGCUGAAACCAUCCCAGAAAGACACUUUGCAGAUUGAUUCAGCAGCACAAGAGCUGAUCCAAUCAGAGUACUGACAAAUACGCUAACGACGUCGAAAGUAGCCUACUUUAAGAGAAAAUAUGCAGAAGAAGAAGAUUUACAUCAAGAUUACAAUGGGUAUUUUCCAAAACACCUGAUAUUACCAGAGGACCGGACUUGUAUUCUAAAACUUUCUCUGCAGAAACUUCGAUUUCUUGAAGACCCUGAGACCUAUCUCCGCAGGUCUGUGCUAAUUAACAAUUUGCUGAGGAAGAUCCACCUAGAGACAGACAGAGAGAGCUAUGAAUACUUUAAAGAGGCACCCUGUUAUAGGACCGCUUACUCGGAUACAAGAAAACGGCUGAAGUUUAUGGUACAAGAAUGCUGUUCUCAAUCACUCUAUUAUGAAGAGCUGCAUUCAUAUCAUAUUGUGCCUUAUCCUGCAGAGAAUUCAAUUUAUGGAAUGGGCUAUACAAGCAGCCACUUGGAGCAAAAUUCUCAGUUGCUUAUUUAUAAAAUGAACUGAAGUAGCUGUUAGAUCCUCUGAUGUUUUGUUUCUGAAUGCUUGAACUGCUUAUUAACACACAAAGAUGAGGCACUAAUUGUAAACACACUUACGAGAAAUGAUGGGAGAUGAAUAGAAGGUACUUUGAAUAAUACUCUGCAGUCUUUGUGCUCGUCACCUUGAUUAUAAAGUACCUUCUUUUCACAUGCAUAGCUGGUGCAAUGUAAAGAGAUUUAUAAGCCGAGACCUUGUAUGCCAUGUAUUUUGUAGAAACUAAGCGACAUCAAGUUGUCAGUGUAGAUAUAAGCAAAUUAUCUACUUUGCAUUUAAAUUAUGCCAUCCCCGGUGAGAGGUAAAACCAGAAUUAAUAGUUUAUUCUGACGAGGAAGAUUGAGGAGGGGGAGUUACUUUCUAUAAUGUUUAGAAAGCAAGUUUUCUUGGAGAAAUGCUUUGAAUCUGAAGGAGUCAGUGCCAAAAGAAAUGCCUCUUUGGUUAGGAUUUAAAAAAGAAAAGAGCAAAAUAAUGGAUCUGCUACUAACAAGAAGUGCUGUAGUGAGGGUGUUUUUAAUUGAUCCACUAAACUGCACUCAUUUCUUAUUUGUCUUUCUGUUGACACACAUUUUGCUGUUUUGCAACUCAACGGAAUGGCUCGGAUGAAAGUCUGUUUUCACAUCCAGUUGUCAGUGUUUUCUAAACAUGAUUUGAAUCCCCUCCAGGUUGCUUGGCUGGAAGUCUGUGAGGCUUUUGUAUGUGUGCUAUUUAAUAUUUGACCAUGUGGUACAGCACAUGCUCAGUGUUGGAGCGUAGAUGGGCAUUUUUUUGUGAUUUGAAAACAAAACAAAACCCACAUUCCAGAAUAGGAAUAUAUUGGACACGCUGUAGUAAAACCUAAGAAGACUUUCAUUUGAGAUGAGUCUUGUCUGUAUUAGUAACAGUGUUUCAGGUUGAGUUAAAUGUCUGUCAAUUUUAGGGAUUUCCUAUGAGACACACUGAGCAAUCUGAUGACUAGAAUGGCAAAGUCAUAACUGCCAGAGCUAUGUUUUGAACAUACCAAAGAGUAGCAUUACGGAGAGGAUGACAUUAAAAUAAAUGAAGUCAAAAGCAAAGAUUGCACUAUAAAUUGGAAGAACAUUAUUAACAAGCCGGUAAACUGCAUAGUUACCAGUAUAUUUGUUGUUCACUUAAGGAUGACUUGAAGCACAGAAUGGUUGAACAAACAUGCCUGAUCCAAAAUGUAUGGAAGUUAAUGGGAAUUCUAUAGACUAUAAGCUUAUAGUGAAGAAAUCAACUUUGCAUUGCUCGUUACAGUCACUGGAGCUUUAAAGGUGAAAUAAUAGUAUGUUGUAACAGUGUAGGCAGAACAAUGUAUUCAAUUAAUCAGUUUUCUCCUGUAGAUUUGACUGUUUCUAUUUCUGAAGCAUUUUACAGGAGAAAGAAAUAGAAAUGCUUUAUAAGGAUGUACUUAGUAUAGAAAUAAGAUUCCACCUGUAACCCUACUUAAAAUACCUUGCUCUUGUAUAUUGCAUACAGAUUUGCUGCAGUUAGGCAUGUAUUAACUAUACAAUGACAAAAGGAAAGGGCAGGAAGUAUGAGGAGCAAAGUCAAGUGAGUCAAAAAUGAUAUUCAUAGUUAGAUGCCAACUGCAGUUUUCAGAGACAGACAGAGAGAGAACUAAACAUCCAGGAAAGAAGAGAAUAUUUAGUAAAACUCUUCAGAACUAAAUUCAACAAAACUACUACUCCCAAAUUUCAGACGCGACCGCUGUGUGAAAUAUUAUUAAUACUAAAUAGCAUACUGAGAGCACACGCACAGGAAAGUUGGAAAAUGGAACUCUAGGGUGUUUCUUAAGUGAAAUUAGUAAUUAUGAAUGUUUACAUUAUGAGAAGCCACUUUCAUUUUUCUUAGAGGCAAAAUGCUCAUACUUAAUUUUGGGGGAAAAGGGACCAAAUUGUCUGAAGACCAGAUCCUCAGCUGGUGUAAAUCAACAUAGUUCCUUUGAAAUCAAUGUCCAUUAUUGGUCUAAUGGAGUAAAACCAGCAGAAAAACUGGCCCAAAUUUUCAUACUGUAUCCUGAGUUUUGUAAACUGAAACAUUCCGAAAAUACAUCAGUGAAAUGCUACUAAUAUAUGCUACAUAGCGCAACAAGGAAACCCAAAAGAAGGUCAAGCUAAUCUGGAGAAAGAUCUCCAAUUAUGUGAUGUAAAUAAUGACUGGACUACUAGGUACGUCUACACUGCAUGGCUAUUUCGGGAUACCAGAGGUAUCCCAAAAUAGCUACCCUGCAUCUACACA